AUUUUGAUUUUACAACACGACCAUUAAGGUUUUAUAUUUACCACAUAGGUAACAUAAUAAAUCGAUGGUUAUACCUUGUAGGCAAAAUGCAAGGAAUAAAGGAAUUUGAGGAACUUGCUAUCGAUGGUAGCAAUUAUCUUGCAUGGGCAUCAGAUAUCAAAAUUGGUUUUGCAUCUAGAGGGAUUUUACAUACCAUUAAUGCACCUGACGCAAACAAUCCAAAUAUAACUGAUAUUGCGAAGUACACUGCAUUACUCUUGUUAAGGACUUCCAUCCAUAAAGAUCUAAAGAAAGAAUAUCUUUUGGAAGAAAAUCCUCGAAACCUA
rnacentral:misc_RNA from 1 species